rnacentral:rRNA from 1 species
GCAUCUUUUUGUUAUUAAAGAAUUUCGAUAACCGAUGGGGAUGCGUUCCAUUAGUUUGUUGGCGGGGUAACGGCCCACCAAGACAUCGAUGGAUAGGGGUUCUGAGAGGAAGGUCCCCCACAUUGGAACUGAGACACGGUCCAAACUCCUACGGGAGGCAGCAGUGAGGAAUAUUGGUCAAUGGACGAGAGUCUGAACCAGCCAAGUAGCGUGAAGGAUGACUGCCCUAUGGGUUGUAAACUUCUUUUAUAUGGGAAUAAAGUGAGCCACGUGUGGCUUUUUGUAUGUACCAUACGAAUAAGGAUCGGCUAACUCCGUGCCAGCAGCCGCGGUAAUACGGAGGAUCCGAGCGUUAUCCGGAUUUAUUGGGUUUAAAGGGAGCGUAGGCGGACUAUUAAGUCAGCUGUGAAAGUUUGCGGCUCAACCGUAAAAUUGCAGUUGAUACUGGUCGUCUUGAGUGCAGUAGAGGUAGGCGGAAUUCGUGGUGUAGCGGUGAAAUGCUUAGAUAUCACGAAGAACUCCGAUUGCGAAGGCAGCUUACUGGACUGUAACUGACGCUGAUGCUCGAAAGUGUGGGUAUCAAACAGGAUUAGAUACCCUGGUAGUCCACACAGUAAACGAUGAAUACUCGCUGUUUGCGAUAUACAGCAAGCGGCC